AACGCACAUUGCGCCCCCUGGUAUUCCGGGGGGCAUGCCUGUUCGAGCGUCAUUACAACCAAUCCAGCCCGGCUGGGUGUUGGGCGUCGCGGCCUGCCGCGCGCCUCAAAGUCCUCGGCGGAAGCCGCCCGUUCCUCUGCGUGAUGAAUCAUCGCCGCUUGGGAGUCGGGGGCGAGCGCCUGCACGCGUCGACGGAGACGUCGACUUCAAGGUUGACCUCGGAUCAGGUAGGGAUACCCGCUGAACUUAA
rnacentral:misc_RNA from 1 species